rnacentral:rRNA from 1 species
CUUCCCACAAGGAAGGACGCUUUUUUGCACUGUAAGGAGGUGCAGGAACAAGGGGUGGGCAAGACUGCUGCCAGCCGCCGCGGUAAUAGCAGCACCCCGAGUGGUAGUCGUUAUUAUUGGGCUAAAGUGUAUGUAGCCGGACCUGUAAGUCUGUUGUGAAAUCCACGCGCUCAACGCAGUGGAAGCGCAACGGAUACUACAGGUCUAGGGACCGGAGGACGCCGAGGCUAUUCCAUGGGUAGGAGUGAAAUCCUAAGAUCCAUGGAGGAGCACCAGUGGCGAAAGCGCUCGGCGAGUACGGAUCCGACGGUGAGGUACGAAAGCCAGGGGAGCAAAGCGGAUCAGAUACCCGUGUAGUCCUGGCCGUCAACAUGUCCGCUAGACAUGGCCCAACCCUUG